rnacentral:tRNA from 1 species
GCGCAGGUGGUGAAAUUGGUAGACACGCCACUUUGAGGGGGUGGUGCCGGUUCCGGUGUGUGAGUUCGAGUCUCAUCCUGCGCA